GGGGAGCAGGCACCUGCCGGGGCACCCCGGGCCCGCGCCGCCGCGGGGAGCGGAGCAGGCGCCAACGCCGCCUCGCCUCGCCUCGCCCAGCCCCGCCCGCUACUGAGAGCGCUGUGGGCAGCGCCUGCGCCCAGGGCAGCGGGUGGCGCGGCGAACAGCGGGCGGGCGCUGGCAGGGCGAGAGGAGCCUCCGAGGGUCGGCUCCUCAGGGUCGCCCCCCUCCCCUUCCUGGGCGCUUUCCCCUCACACCGCCUUCGAGCCUCUGCCACGUAGACAGGGGCCAGAAGCCGCCGCAGCCUGCCCGAUAGGCGCCUGCCCUCUCCUCUGUGGUAACGGCACCGCUUUGAAGGUGUGCGGCGGCGCGCGGGUGCACAGGCGAAUACCCGCGUUCGCCUUCUCGUCUGCGAGGCAAACCUCAGUGCGGAGGUCUGUCUUUACCAUCGCCCGGGUUGAGGGGGUGGUUUGAAGACAAAAGAGCAGAGAUCACUGAGAGAUGUGCUUGCUGUAAUGGCACAGUUAAAGAGUGAAAGCUGGAACAAUUCUCUCUGGAAAGACUUUUGAAGAGGUCAGUCUCCCUACUACAGAUGGCGAUGUUUUGAUGGACAAAAAAAGUUUGCUGUUUGGAUUCAGACAGCAGUUGAAGCGCAGCACUGAAAUGGAGAUUCAGACACCUACUCUUGCAACAGGCUGUGUACUGAAGGCUCGACCUGAAGAGAACCACUGGAAUGCUGAGAUAAUUGGAAGACCUGACGUGCUUGACAUGACCUGAUAUCCUGAAAUAUUUCUAGGCAUUCUUUUAGGAAUGAGGGCAAAGUAUGCAAGCUGACUACAGAAGAUAAAGAAUGUGUGCAUGCUACUUUCAGAAAUAAAAGUAAGUGUGAAUAUUCCUCUGGAGAGGGAAAAAAGGAGAGGAAGAAUAAAAAGAAAGAUCUGGGACACAAAAGAGUAGGACAGAAGGGCUGAGAGGGCUUGAGCCAUGGGACAGAGUACAAAGAGGGAAGGAGGAAGGAGCAGUUGGGCAAUGUGAGGUGCUGAUGAGGAGCAGAUAGAGGCAGGCAGCCAUUAAUUAACUUCUGCUUGAUCACCUAUUCUUGUCAUAACUGUGUAGGUAGAAACUAGAAUAAUCCUAGCAUUGCAGGCUGCCCCAGAGGGCUGAACUGAAAGCCAGACAGUCCAUCCAUCUGCUUGGACUUUCACGUUUAAAGGAAUCAUAAAUUCCUUGACUGCUCUACACGGUGCUCCCCUCCCCUUGUCUGUGUUACGUGCUGAAAGCCCUUAUUCUUCAAAGCUGUCUGUGUCCCUCAAUCAGCUCUUCUACAUAAAGCCAAAUUUGGGGUCAGUUCUGUUUACUUUUCCUUCCUCUUACAUGUGAUUUGAGUUGUCCUGUCAAUCAUCGUGUAUCGGACAAGAUCAGGGGCUUGUCCAUUGGCAGGCAGAGGGUUCUGCAGAACUUGUUGCUGCACGUCAGCAUGGAUCUGCAGAGACUAAACAAAGGGAUCUGAGCCCUGCUACUUGUGCUAUUAAGACUGAAAUUGUGUGUGAAGAGAAAGUAGGAUGGAGAUGCCAGUUAAAGGGAAAAAAAAACCUUAAGGAGUAAAAAGCUAAGACCUAUGCAAGUCCUACUGGAACAGGGAAGCUGAUGAGAGUUUUGAAGGAAAGACUAGACUGCAUGGGCUGACAGCAUAUUUGGCCAGGGCUGGCAAAACCAGAUUCAGGAAAGGAGUUCACUGUGCUGUCAAGCUAAAGAAUUGGUGGAGGAAACAGGACGUGCCAGUGUGAACACAUCAACUAUGGAUGUGAUAAUGUGCUACAAAAAACCUAGGAAAUUCAAGCACAGAAUGAACAUAGCAUUCACAUUUUUCUUUGGAAUUUUCUGCCCUUCCAAAAUACUCAAAGUCUGAAACAUGGAAAAUUAUUAUUGAAAGUAUUUCAGAUGCAUAAUUACAUCAUAGACCAACUGGCCA